rnacentral:tRNA from 2 species
GCCAUAGCUCAGUUGGUAGUAGCGCAUGACUGUUAAUCAUGAUGUCGUAGGUUCGAGUCCUACUGGCGGA